rnacentral:rRNA from 1 species
GUUUAUUCGUGGUUCAGGAUAAACGUGGGCGGUGUGCCUAAUACAUGCAAGUCGAACGGCGACGAUUUUGUAGCAAUACGAUGGAAAUCAUAGUGGCGAACGGAUGAGUAACGCGUUGGUGAUCUGCCUCGAAGUGUGGAAUAACUCCCGAAAGGGUAGCUAAUACCGCAUAGUCUCUCAAGGUAUAGAAAAUUGAGAGUAAAGGAUUUAUUCGCUUCGAGAGGAGCCUGCGUCCCAUCAGCUAGUUGGUAGGGUAAUAGCCUACCAAGGCAAUGACGGGUAGGGGACCUGAGAGGGUGGCCCCCCACAAUGGAACUGUAACACGGUCCAUACACCUACGGGUGGCAGCAGUAGGGAAUAUUAGAAAUGGGCGAAAGCCUGAUCUAGCAACACCGCGUGUGCGAUGAAGGCCUUCGGGUUGUAAAGCACUUUUUGGAGGGAAUAGGAAGGAAGGUACCUCCAGAAUAAGUCUCGGAUAAGUACGUGCCAGCAGCCGCGGUAACAUGUAGGAGGCAAACGUUAUCCGGAUUCACUGGGCGUAAAGCGCGUGUAGGUGGUUCUGUAAGUAGGGUGUGAAAGCUCCCGGCUCAACUGGGAGAGGCCGUACUAAACUGCAGAGCUAGAGGAUGGUAGAGGGAGGUGGAAUUCCAGGUGUAGUGGUGAAAUGCGCAGAUAUCUGGAGGAACACCAGUGGCGAAGGCGGCCUCCUGGACCAUUCCUGACACUCAGACGCGAAAGCUAGGGUAGCAAACGGAAUUAGAGACUCCGGUAGUCCUAGCCCUAAACGAUGCAGACUAGGCGUCGGCGGUUUAAUCACCGUCGGUGUCCAAGCUAACGCGAU